CACGGAUGAAGCUGGAAACCAUCAUUCUCAGCAAACUAUCACAAGGAUAGAAAACCAAACACCUCAUGUUCUCAUUCAAGGGAUCCACACCUGAACCUGACAGAAAGGACUCAUCUCUCAAAAACCCUAGACUUUGAGUGGACUUCAGGAACUGGAUGUGGCUUCACGUUAUCUCCAAGCAGGAGGGAGGAUAAGUCUUUUCCAAGUGUGAGAGAAAGGAUGAAUUGGGUAUCGGAUGACCAGAAGGCAGAUGUUAGCAGACUUUAGAACCAAAUUCUGUUUCUUGUUUUACUUGUGCAGAAAAUGGAAGUGGUGAAAUGUUACCUUUCUGAGUUUGGGUUAGUAGGAUGUGGGUGGAAGGAUAGCUUUAUAGCCCUGUGCUUGUUUCUCCCCCUCCUCCACCUCUUCUCUCUCUCUUAUAUUCACUUCCACUUCUAGGUCUGUCCUUUGCUCUCCUUUAACCUCUCCCAGCAGCUCAAAGCAGAGGACUCUCUGAUCCUAAGAGACAAUGGAGCCAUAAGAUGAAAAAAGUUUUCAGUUCCGCACUGGGAAAAUAAUUGCCCAGAAAAACCACUGGACUCAGAGCCCUCAUGUAGAACUAUUGCAUGAGUGAGUACACUUUAUUUUGAUAUAACCCAAAGAAGGGGAAUUAGGAAUCAGAGAAAGAAGGAACAACAACAACAACAACAACAAAACAGGCAAGGGAUGAAGACGUAUUUCUAUAUCAAGUUGCUGCUACCUGGGCAGACUCUUGAGCAUUAAAGCACAGUUUAGUUUAGAGUGGCAAGGCCAGGCCAGACCUAUUAUCCAAACUAGAAUUCUAUUCAAGGUGUCAGAGAUGCUACUCAUAAUUAUCCCAGAACAACAUAUAUAUAUCUCACAGUAAUUGUGGGGAAACUGGAUGUGUGAUCAUACUUACAGUUCUGUGCAGUGUUUUAUUUUUGUUUUUGUUUUGAGACAGGGUCUCGCUCCGUUGCCUAGCCUGGAGUGCAACAAUGCAAUCCAUAAGGCUCAUUGCAACCUCUGCCUCCCGGGCUCAAGGAAAACUCUCACUUCAGCCUCUUAAGUAUCUGGAACUACCAGCAUGCACCACCAUGCCCAAAUUAGUUUUUUAAAUUAUUAUUAUUAUUUGUAGAGAUGGGGUUUUGCCAUGUUGCCCAGGCUGGUGUGCACUUUUAAGAUCAAAUAGGUAAAGUCAAAUAGGUAGAAACUCCUUCUAAAUGGAAAAGAGCCCAAAUACUUGUUAUAGUUAUGAUCCCAGCGAAUAAUUUUAAAUAAGUGAGUGAAUAAAAAUCCCUUUAGUUAUAUCCUUAAGAUAUUUCCAAGUAUCCAUUUCUUAAGGAGGAACUUUGGUGUGCCUAUAGCCACUUCUAAAAUCCGGGCAUUCCUUCCAAAUCCUGUUCACGGUGUGUUGUUAGGACACAAAUCCAGAUUUCCUCUGCCACCCCUACAAGAGAGACCUUUCACUCUCCCCCUCUGCAAUAUACAUCUCCAAACAACAAGCAUCAGCGUCCUCGUGGUGGGGAGCAAUUCAUUUUCGUGUUGACUUCAUGAAGAGACGCCUGCAGUGAGCCUGCAGCUGAGUGCAAAGUGCAGAUUAGGAAGGAAAAGUCCCUGUUCCCUUGAUGCAUUAACGCAUUCUCCAUUAAGUUGCUCUACUGGGGGGUGAUCCUGGGCCUGGAGGAGCUUUUCUGCUCUAGGGCUCUUAUCUCCUGGGGCCAUUUUUGGAGGGUGGCCAGCCCAGCACAACUCCAUUUUCAGUUUCUUCCUACAUGUGUCUCUCUGGCAUUGGCUGCCCCGAUCCCUUUCCCACUCCCCACCCCAGCCUCAAUUUAGAAACUGAAUGCUAAAAAAAAAAUUGAAUAGACAUUUUUUGCAUAAUUAGUUUCUUAGCUGUGCAUUGUAUAAAUUGUCAUUUAAAAGACUAAACAUAAAUUCAAAUUUCCAUUAUGAAUAUUAAUGUUGGAAAGAAAGAACAUCAGGAGAUUGUGUGACCCAGUUCUUCUCUUUUGGUAAGAAGGAAAGUUAUGACCAUCAAGGAGGCCUAAAUCGCCUGAGGACAGAGGCGUGACCGGCCUUCAUGUCAAACCACAGUACAGAUCUCCCACCAGAUCUCAGAAAGCCCUGAUAAUCAGUACCGUGAAUUGUUCAUGAAAAUGAAUUAAUAUACAUAAAGUCUUUAGAGUGAUGGGUAUAUAUAGGAAGCAGUAUGUGUUAGCUUUGAUUUUGACUAUUCUUAAUAGUGAUGGACUAUUACAAUAAUAACCAAUAUUAGCUGGUUUUAUAAUAAUUAGUAUAUAUCAGUCAUCUCUACACACUAUAGUUAAUAUUUUAGAGACAUACACUAAAUCAUUAUUAAUAUAUAAAUUAUUAUAUAUUAUAAACUUGGAAAGUUUUAUGUUAAAAAAGAGAGAAAGGGAGAGAGAGAGAAAGAAAGAGAAAGAAUCUUACAUCUGUGUGUUAGUGUUUGGGGUAGGAGAAUGGUUCAGAGGGGAAACAGGAGUUGAAGGUGGCCAUGAAAGCUGGAUAAGUGACUCAAGUUUGGAAGGCUUUCCACUAUUUCAUAGCAAUGAUUAGAUUUGUUCCAUUUUAUCUCACAUUACCCUAGUACCUGCAGAUAGGAGUUACACCAAUGCAAAAUUUGUUCUCUUCUUGGGGAAGUGAGAGGGAAUAGUGGUUAAGAUAAGGUCUCUAGAAUUUCUCUGCCUGAGUUCAAAUUCAGGUUCAGUGACUCCUUCACUAUGGGACCUUGAGCACAUCACUUAAUAUCUCUGUAGCUCACUCUCCUUAUCUUUAUAACAGCAUAAUAAUACUGCCUGCUUGGUAGGCUUCUUGGGAAGAUUAAAUUAGUUCAUACGAGUUAAUGUAUUAAUGUAAAACACUUAUGACAUAGCGAUUACUUGUGUAAGUUUUAUAAACACUAAAGGGAAUAUUUAAGGUAAUGAAAGUUGUUUCUAAAAAUGGCAUAGGGUAUCUAAGGAGGUGGUGAGUUCAAUACCCACUGUGGGGCUCACACAUAUAUUCCUUACAACCCUGGGAAUAUCAUAUGCAGCCAGAUAAUAUAUUUAAAUAUCAAUCAAUUUUUUUCCUCCCAAUAUUUCACUCUUACCUCCCAACCCCAGCACUCCCAAACAACUUCAUAAUUUCUGCUCCCCUGGGACGACUUUACUUUGGGAUAUUCUCUAUUUCAGGGUAUGUCAAAAGCAGAAGGAAGAGAGAGAAGGGAACCCCUUCCUGGGUUUUGUGGUUCCAUAGCUUAGGGCUUGAAGGGAAUAAAAAGGAUUCAGGGUACAGAAGAAACUCAAAAAAGAUGCAAACCUCCAGGCCUGGGACAAGGUCAGGAUGCUCUAGGUUAAGUGGAGUGAAAGGAUCCUCAAAUAGGAUCCUGUGUUUCCCCUCUAGCAAAGUUCCAAGAGGGGGCGGGACCACUAGAUAGAUGAGAGUUUGAGGGCAGGGAUGAGUUUUGGUAUAAGGCAGACUUAAAGGUCUUCUUGACCUUUAAGUUGUUCCCUGGAGCAACAGUGGCAGGAGGUAGAAGAGCAUCGGAUGAGAAUGAGGCAACUUUCUUGGACCAAAAAGGAAAGGCCAAAGAGAGGGGCUCCCUCAGCAGAUAUCACGGAAAGUGGACACCAAGCAUUCAAUGUCUCCUUUCCACAAUGUGUACCAUGUAAGUCCCCCAGAAUUUAGACAUAAUCACAGGGACAGGAGGAAUCCAAAAUUGACGGUAAGGCCAGCUUCAUGAGUGUGUGACCUAUGCGGUCACAUAGGACUCUGUCCUUCAGAAGAGUCCAGUGCUUGGUUCAGUGCUUGGUUCAAUGCUUUGCUUUUGCCAUCUCAUGAUUUUGAAUAAUUUUUUAACAAGGGGUUUGCAUUUCCAUUUUGCACUGGGCCCUGAAAUUUAUGUAUUAAUUCCUGCUUGACUUCUAUUAACUUUUCUUAAUCACAGUAGAAAGAGGAAUUCAAAUAGAAAUUAAGUUGAUUAGAGAAAAAUAAAGUUAUAUUUCUGUAUAUCUGAGUUUGCA
rnacentral:lncRNA from 10 species